CACUCUGGAGAGCAUUUCCAUUACUGUGAGCUGUUAGUUCCACUCAAUAGUCACUCCUUGGAAACAAUGGUUUGAUGGGCUGGGACAUGGAUUGUUAUAUUAAGCAAGAAAAUAACUUGAACUGCUCCUGUAAUUACUCUGCAUGCAGUCAGUCUCGGGAUUUCUGGCAAGCUCAUCUUCAUUUCUACAUAUAUAAUGUUACGGUACUUAGCAUUUCUGUAACAUGGCAUUACACCUUCAAAUUGUUUCCUAGUUAUUAACUAAUUAAUCUCAUAACACCCCUGUAAGGUAUAUCUGUUUGUUUCUGCUUGGGUGACUGUGUGGAGGAUAAUAAUAUGUGGCUUGAAUAUUAACAGACAUAAAGUAGUGUAUUGCAUUUAUAGUUGGUGCUUUGUUUUCAGGCCUUAUUUUGGUUUAACCCUGGCUGGCAGCCACUCACUUGCUUCCUCUCAGCAGGAUGGAAGAGAGAGCCAGAAAGGGUUUGUAUGAAGCAGCACCAUUUAUCCUGUCACUGAAAGAAGGAAACAGAGGCACUUGGCGAAACUAUAAAGAAUUGUAUAUCAACCAUGGAGGACAAACAGGGAAGAGGAAGAGUAGGGUGCCCUGGAAGCUGUGUUGAUUAUCAAAGAAUACCUGUUUUGGCAGAUAAGCUGCAAGUGGAGCUUGGAGUUACCAAGGAAUAGUUUGAGUCAUGACAAGCAUCAUUAGACAGUUCUCUCCAAGGUUUUGGCUAGGUCACUGACUAACUGUGAAUUUGGGUCAAGGACCUGACUGGGUAAAGCAGCCUCAUUUAUCAUCUGCCAUGGCUGAGAUAACAGCCAUCAGUUCAUUUGACUAGCUGAGGAGGGAACAACUUAUUUUGGUUUAGUAAUGAUUUGAGAGCCUUAUCAAUAAAAUUACCAACACUCUUCA